rnacentral:misc_RNA from 1 species
UAAUAAGUGUUUUAUGGCACUUUUUAAAUCCAUAUCCACCUUGUGUGCAAUGUCAGUCGAUCUUCUUCAUGGAGAUUGGCCAAACAUCAACCUUUAUUUUUUAACUCUUUGUCUGAAAAAUAUUAUGAAUAAACAAUUCAAAAGA